AUGGUCUCUAUAUGCCACUUCCAAUUUCAUAUCACCCAUGGGAAGAUAUUAGCAUGGAUUUUGUGCUUGGUUUGCCUAGGACUUGAAUGGCAAGAUUCUGUGUUUGUUGUUGUGGACCGAUUCUCUAGAAUGGCUCAUUUCAUCCCAUGCAACAAGAUAGACGAUGCUUCACAUGUUGCAAAGCUUUUUUGUAGGGAAAUCUUGCGACUUCAUGGAGUGCUAGAGAGUAUUGUCUCGGACCGCGACAUCAAGUUCUUGAGGUACUUUUGGAAGACCUUAUGCGCCAAGCUCGGAAUCAAGCUCCUAUUCUCUUCGGCAUACCAUCCUCAAACCGACGGCCAAAUGGAGGUCACGAACCGGACACUCUCCACUCUACUACGCGUGUUGAUCACGAAGAACAACAAAGAGUGGGAGGAUUGUCUACCCAUCACCGAGUACGCCUACAACCGUGCAAGACAUUCGACUACUGGCAACUCCCCCUUCGAGGUCGUCUACGGUUUCAACCCGUUGUCCCCAUUGGACACUGGUCCUCUACCACUACAAGAGCGCAUCAACAUGGACGCGAGUGCAUGA
rnacentral:rRNA from 1 species